rnacentral:rRNA from 1 species
AACGAACGCUGGCGGCAUGCCUAAUACAUGCAAGUCGCGCGAGAAAGUCCUUCGGGAUGAGUAGAGCGGCGCACGGGUGAGUAAUGCAUAGGAACGUACCUUUUGGUGGUGGAUAACCACGGGAAACUGUGGCUAAUACAGCAUAAUGACGUGAGUCUAAAGCAGCCCUCUGUUUACAAGGUUGCGCCAGUAGAGCGGCCUAUGUCCCAUUAGCUAGUUGGUAGGGUAAUGGCCUACCAAGGCGACGAUGGGUAGCUGGUCUGAGAGGAUGAUCAGC